rnacentral:lncRNA from 1 species
CUGCUAGGAAAGGGGACAUUCAAAGGAAAAACAUUAGUCGGAAUUGAAUUUAACACAUUCUUACCCUUAUUGGAUGAAUUGGACAGAUUUGGAGCCAUGGGGGCUUGCGGCAUAGGUGUGUCCACCUUUGUCGUGGGUGGGCAUGCUUCCACCUCCUCAAAUUGAAGUUUUUCAUCCUCUUUGUGACCUGUUUUUGAUGAAGAACCUGGCCCAAUCUCUUUUCCACUUCUCAAGAGUAUGGCCUUUGCACUUUCA